rnacentral:rRNA from 1 species
GGUUAAGCGACUAAGCGUACACGGUGGAUGCCCUGGCAGUCAGAGGCGAUGAAGGACGUGCUAAUCUGCGAUAAGCGUCGGUAAGGUGAUAUGAACCGUUAUAACCGGCGAUUUCCGAAUGGGGAAACCCAGUGUGAUUCGUCACACUAUCAUUAACUGAAUCCAUAGGUUAAUGAGGCGAACCGGGGGAACUGAAACAUCUAAGUACCCCGAGGAAAAGAAAUCAACCGAGAUUCCCCCAGUAGCGGCGAGCGAACGGGGAGGAGCCCAGAGCCUGAAUCAGUGUGUGUGUUAGUGGAAGCGUCUGGAAAGGCGCGCGAUACAGGGUGACAGCCCCGUACACAAAAAUGCACAUGCUGUGAGCUCGAUGAGUAGGGCGGGACACGUGGUAUCCUGUCUGAAUAUGGGGGGACCAUCCUCCAAGGCUAAAUACUCCUGACUGACCGAUAGUGAACCAGUACCGUGAGGGAAAGGCGAAAAGAACCCCGGCGAGGGGAGUGAAAAAGAACCUGAAACCGUGUACGUACAAGCAGUGGGAGCACGCUUAGGCGUGUGACUGCGUACCUUUUGUAUAAUGGGUCAGCGACUUAUAUUCUGUAGCAAGGUUAACCGAAUAGGGGAGCCGAAGGGAAACCGAGUCUUAACUGGGCGUUAAGUUGCAGGGUAUAGACCCGAAACCCGGUGAUCUAGCCAUGGGCAGGUUGAAGGUUGGGUAACACUAACUGGAGGACCGAACCGACUAAUGUUGAAAAAUUAGCGGAUGACUUGUGGCUGGGGGUGAAAGGCCAAUCAAACCGGGAGAUAGCUGGUUCUCCCCGAAAGCUAUUUAGGUAGCGCCUCGUGAAUUCAUCUCCGGGGGUAGAGCACUGUUUCGGCAAGGGGGUCAUCCCGACUUACCAACCCGAUGCAAACUGCGAAUACCGGAGAAUGUUAUCACGGGAGACACACGGCGGGUGCUAACGUCCGUCGUGAAGAGGGAAACAACCCAGACCGCCAGCUAAGGUCCCAAAGUCAUGGUUAAGUGGGAAACGAUGUGGGAAGGCCCAGACAGCCAGGAUGUUGGCUUAGAAGCAGCCAUCAUUUAAAGAAAGCGUAAUAGCUCACUGGUCGAGUCGGCCUGCGCGGAAGAUGUAACGGGGCUAAACCAUGCACCGAAGCUGCGGCAGCGACGCUUAUGCGUUGUUGGGUAGGGGAGCGUUCUGUAAGCCUGUGAAGGUGUACUGUGAGGUAUGCUGGAGGUAUCAGAAGUGCGAAUGCUGACAUAAGUAACGAUAAAGCGGGUGAAAAGCCCGCUCGCCGGAAGACCAAGGGUUCCUGUCCAACGUUAAUCGGGGCAGGGUGAGUCGACCCCUAAGGCGAGGCCGAAAGGCGUAGUCGAUGGGAAACAGGUUAAUAUUCCUGUACUUGGUGUUACUGCGAAGGGGGGACGGAGAAGGCUAUGUUGGCCGGGCGACGGUUGUCCCGGUUUAAGCGUGUAGGCUGGUUUUCCAGGCAAAUCCGGAAAAUCAAGGCUGAGGCGUGAUGACGAGGCACUACGGUGCUGAAGCAACAAAUGCCCUGCUUCCAGGAAAAGCCUCUAAGCAUCAGGUAACAUCAAAUCGUACCCCAAACCGACACAGGUGGUCAGGUAGAGAAUACCAAGGCGCUUGAGAGAACUCGGGUGAAGGAACUAGGCAAAAUGGUGCCGUAACUUCGGGAGAAGGCACGCUGAUAUGUAGGUGAAGUCCCUCGCGGAUGGAGCUGAAAUCAGUCGAAGAUACCAGCUGGCUGCAACUGUUUAUUAAAAACACAGCACUGUGCAAACACGAAAGUGGACGUAUACGGUGUGACGCCUGCCCGGUGCCGGAAGGUUAAUUGAUGGGGUUAGCGCAAGCGAAGCUCUUGAUCGAAGCCCCGGUAAACGGCGGCCGUAACUAUAACGGUCCUAAGGUAGCGAAAUUCCUUGUCGGGUAAGUUCCGACCUGCACGAAUGGCGUAAUGAUGGCCAGGCUGUCUCCACCCGAGACUCAGUGAAAUUGAACUCGCUGUGAAGAUGCAGUGUACCCGCGGCAAGACGGAAAGACCCCGUGAACCUUUACUAUAGCUUGACACUGAACAUUGAGCCUUGAUGUGUAGGAUAGGUGGGAGGCUUUGAAGUGUGGACGCCAGUCUGCAUGGAGCCGACCUUGAAAUACCACCCUUUAAUGUUUGAUGUUCUAACGUUGACCCGUGAUCCGGGUUGCGGACAGUGUCUGGUGGGUAGUUUGACUGGGGCGGUCUCCUCCUAAAGAGUAACGGAGGAGCACGAAGGUUGGCUAAUCCUGGUCGGACAUCAGGAGGUUAGUGCAAUGGCAUAAGCCAGCUUGACUGCGAGCGUGACGGCGCGAGCAGGUGCGAAAGCAGGUCAUAGUGAUCCGGUGGUUCUGAAUGGAAGGGCCAUCGCUCAACGGAUAAAAGGUACUCCGGGGAUAACAGGCUGAUACCGCCCAAGAGUUCAUAUCGACGGCGGUGUUUGGCACCUCGAUGUCGGCUCAUCACAUCCUGGGGCUGAAGUAGGUCCCAAGGGUAUGGCUGUUCGCCAUUUAAAGUGGUACGCGAGCUGGGUUUAGAACGUCGUGAGACAGUUCGGUCCCUAUCUGCCGUGGGCGCUGGAGAACUGAGGGGGGCUGCUCCUAGUACGAGAGGACCGGAGUGGACGCAUCACUGGUGUUCGGGUUGUCAUGCCAAUGGCACUGCCCGGUAGCUAAAUGCGGAAGAGAUAAGUGCUGAAAGCAUCUAAGCACGAAACUUGCCCCGAGAUGAGUUCUCCCUGACUCCUUGAGAGUCCUGAAGGAACGUUGAAGACGACGACGUUGAUAGGCCGGGUGUGUAAGCGCAGCGAUGCGUUGAGCUAACCGGUACUAAUGAACCGUGAGGCUUAACCUU